rnacentral:tRNA from 1 species
GGAGCUGUAGCGCAAUGGAAAAAACCUUUGACUUCUAUGCAGAAGGGCCCAGGUUCAAUUCCUGGCAUCUCCA